AUGACAAACCUAUAUUACUCACACACGCAUAUAUUUCCUGCUCCUACAGUUGGCUCCAUCUUCCCCCACCGCUCCCAAUGCACUCACACUCGCAGCCCGGGAAAUCACGCCCCGAGACCGCCGAUAUUUUUGUCUUUAAUGCACCAGCUGACAACAUGCAAAACGCCGAAUACAAGAGGAGGAAUACAAAAGCGAAAUCACACGGCAAGAAGGAAGCACAUCUACGCUACGUGCACGCCUCCCAUGGCAACCUCAAUUAACACCACACGCGUCCAUCAGUGCUGUCACCCUUGCAAAAAUCAAAGGCACAAAGGGAACGUUUGGGAAAGGAAGGCGCGCGCUGCAGCCCAACUUCUCGCGGCCGUCCGGUGCCUCCUGGAGCCCUCCGUGAGCAGCAGAGCCGCGUGGCGGCGCCGUCCCGGCCCGGGGCUGCCGCUGCCGCUGCUGCUCCCGGGGGCGCUGCCGGCUCCGGGGCUCCGUGCUCUCGGCGGGGCUACAGCCCGCAGCGCAGGUUGCGUUCUGUUUGCUGGUUCUGAAGCGGAAAAUGCGCUCGGCGGCCACGUGGGAAAGACGAAGCCGGGCGCUACGAGCGCACCCCAGCUCUGGAGCCCGCGUCCCGAAAAGUCUGGGGGCGCUUCGUGGGCAUUGGCACGGGGACCGCGGGCCGCCACACACCGCCGCUCCCCCCGCCCGCCCGAAGCCCUCCGAAGGGACGCGCAGGCUCCUGAGCUCGGGGGCCGCGGCAGCGCGCGGGUGCCGCCCUCUCCCCCCCCUGCCGUGUCCCCGCCGCCCGUCCCCACGGGUCCCCUCAGCACCUCACCUGCGGCGCGGCCCGACCGCGGACUGCGCGGCCCCUGCGCGGCUGCGCUGCCGCCGCCUCCCGCCGCAGCCGCGCCCCCCGGGCCGGCGGGGAGGGCGCUGCCGGCAGCCCCCCGCCUCCCGCCCCCCGGCCGCGCAGCCCCUCCGCUCACGCAGCAUCCCCGCGGCGAAGCGGCCGCCCUCCCCCCGCGCGGCAUCCUGCCCCGCUCGCGGAGCACCGUCCCUCUCCGCCUUCCUUCCCCGCGCAAGGCGCGCGGCAGCAGCAGCAGAUGCACAACGGGAGAAGUCAAGAGGAUCUUCCCGAGGGCUGAGCCGCGGCUCGCAGCUUGA
rnacentral:lncRNA from 1 species